rnacentral:rRNA from 1 species
UAGGGAAUCUUCCGCAAUGGACGCAAGUCUGACGGAGCAACGCCGCGUGAGUGAAGAAGGAUUUCGGUUCGUAAAACUCUGUUGUUAGAGAAGAACAGCGCAUAGAGUAACUGUUAUGCGUGUGACGGUAUCUAACCAGAAAGCCACGGCUAACUACGUGCCAGCAGCCGCGGUAAUACGUAGGUGGCAAGCGUUGUCCGGAUUUAUUGGGCGUAAAGCGAGCGCAGGCGGUCAAUUAAGUCUGAUGUGAAAGCCCCCGGCUCAACCGGGGAGGGUCAUUGGAAACUGGUUGACUUGAGUGCAGAAGAGGAGAGUGGAAUUCCAUGUGUAGCGGUGAAAUGCGUAGUUAUAUGGAGGAACACCAGUGGCGAAGGCGACUCUCUGGUCUGUAACUGACGAUGAGGCUCGAAAGCGUGGGUAGCAAACAGG